GGAUGUCUUACUUUCCUGGGAAGGUUAAUAAAAAUAGUGCUUAAGUGUGAGAAAAUAUUUUUGUACAGCAAUCCAUCCAAAGGAGAGACAUCAGAUGUUAACAACAGAUAAAACAUCAUGGAACUAAGGCAUUGUAAGAGCAGAUUGAUUAAACACUUCAAUUUUCUGAGGAGAAAGAAAUACCUAAGGAGCUGGAAUGGGAUAUGUAACAUACUCCGACGAAAUGAGGAUGUGGUUUACUGAGGCUAUGAGACCCUAAAUGAAGGACCUGAGGAUUGAGCUGACUUCGUGCUCAUUCAUUAUACGUAUUAGGCUAAAAGAAAACAGACAAACAAAUGAUUAUGUCCAGUACAGCAGAUCAAAGAAGGAUCCUCAGAGAAAGUAUGGUGUGGACCAUCUUAUAGCAGUUGUUUUAUUAUAGGUCCUUUGCAUUUCGCCAUAUAUUUUAUAGUCAACUGGCAAACUUCUGAAUCAAAACCUGCUGAGAUUUUAAUUGAGAUGGUCUUGAACUAUGAUCUGUGAAUUUAUAGUUUUAAUCAGGCUCAGUCUAAGUUUUCAAGGAGCCAGUCGGAGAAAAGCAGUAACUCUAGAGCCAUCCAGUGAAGUUGGUGACAGAAUAAUGGCUGCGAAGGCACUUCCCCAAGGGGAACAGUGAGAGAAAGCACAUUGCUGCAUCCUGUGGAGAUGUUCCAGGAUAUCUUCCACAGCAUUGUCCUGGAUGGCUUUAUUAUGAAUUGCUUGCAAGGCUAAAAGAGAAAAAAAAAAAUGUUUCAUGUGGCAUUUCCAUUUGCAACGCUGUUACAUCCAUUAGGAUGAAUGACACAUCAUGUCAUGGGUGGAUUCAUAGAAGAAGAAUUUUUAUCUUUAUGGAAAGAAAUUUGCUAAAUUAUCAGGAUAGGAUAUUGCCAAAUUACCUAAUAAUGAACUCUAUUUUAAAUGCGUCAGCCACAGAAAUAUUUAUAAAAGGUAAAUCAUAUUUUGAAACUUUCUAGCUUAAUGCCUCAGUGGAUUUCCAUUACUCGCAGAAUAAAAUGUACGAUCUUUAAACGUAAUCCAGGGUGCGUACAGUCUGGCUUCUGUUCACCUCUCUAACCUCUCUCAAACCACACUCCCACCUAU